GUGUCAUCAGCCGGUUAAGCUGCUAGUGGAGUCCUCGGGGGCCACAGUUUCUUCUCAGCAGUGGUCCCUCCCCCAGGAGGCCUAAAAUCCCCUCCUCCCACCCCGCCCCCUCGGAGAUCUCCAAGCACGCCGGGACUUAGGGAAGAUGGAACCCGGCUGCGGGGUCCAGAGGGGUGCAGGUUUAGAUCGCGGCUGUGUGACCUUGGGUGCUGUAAGGCUGUGUGCUCGAUCGGUCCGCGGCUCCAGAGCCCUUUGUCCUGUGCUCUAAGAGGCUUUGUUCUCAGCCUUCUGAGAUGCUCUGUUCCCCGCGUCCCUCCGUCCUCGCACCCGAGCCCGAUCGGGGUUUCCAGGAUCGCUCUACCGGCGGCACUAGCGCCCCCUCAGGCGGCCGGUUUGUGUCACUACGAGUUGCCUCCAUACAACCUUCAGGAUUCAGCUCCAAUGCUCAUACUCAUUUCUGAAUCACAGAAAAAGCAGGGGCCCGAAGGUCUGAUGACAACUUCCCUCUUGGGAUUCUGGUGCGCAAAGCCACCUUCUGGUGGGGAGUAGAAGGCAUUGGUACCUAGAGAGCAAAGACUCCCCUGGCUUCGAACAGUUCAAUGGGCACAGAGCUGCCUCUUUCCGGCUGUGCAGCCUUGGCAAAGGUACUUAGUAGCCUCUUCAUCUACGUCUUAAGGAAAGUUUUUCCCUCCACCUUGAGAUUAAAUGAGAUAUUUUUCUAGUAUUUAUUGCCGUGUCUUCCGUGUUAUGAAAGCUACAGAAGGAUUGGACGUUUAUGUUAAAAAAUCCAGUGAACUCAAGGAGAAAAAUUGAGUUGGACGGUGGUACAGACAGACUUUAUUCAAUCAUCCUCUUGUUUCAAACGUAUCUACAAAGCCUUAAUGUUCCAACAGCUGGGGGAUGGAGCUGGAAGCAGGAUUUUCUCAGCGGCCAGUGUCUGCAGGAAUGCAGAACUGGUUUUCACCCCUCCCGUUUGGGCGAGACCACUUGAAUGAAUUGCUGAGUAGGACGGUCAGUGUGGAGCUGAUUCAGAAUGAGAAAAAGACAAAGGGGACUAAAACCAAGAUCCAAAGGCAGGAGGCAACCGGAUGAGAGGAGUCCUGAGAAGGAGGUGAAGAGAUGCCUUGGUUGGUGGAAUCAGAAGCGCUUAGCCGUUCUGUAGAUUUCUUUUUGUCCCCUGCAAGUUCUGUAUGGAUGGUGGUGGUAGUGAAAGGGUUUCUAGCUAUAAAGAGGUAGCUGUUGCUUCUAACCAUGGUGCCAACUCCUGCUCUGGAUGCCAUAUCCCCAGGUGUACCCGCCGAUUAGAAAGGAUGGGGAUCCAUGUGUCCCCUGAUGUUCUCAGCCACAGUGGUCACCUCUCAGAAGUGUGAACCACAAAAGAUGCAAGUGGCAAGGGCGUGCUUUUGUUUUGUUUUGGUUUUUGGUGCUAGGAAUUGAACCCAGAGCCUCGUGCUUGCUAAGCAUGAGUAUUAUUCCCUGGCCAUAUGACCUUUUUUUUUUCUUUUUCUUUUUUUUUUUUUUUUUUUUUUUGUCUUUUUCCUUUUUAUCGGUACCGGGGAUCGAACUCACGACUGCCUGCUUGCAAGGCAGGUGCUUAUGCCGCUGAGCUAAAUCCCCAGCCUCUGACAUUUUUUUUUUUUUUUAAAGUACUGGGGAUGGAACCCAGGGCUUCACACAUGCUAGGCAGCCACACUAUAGCUCCACUACACCUCCAGCCUUGUAGAUUUCUUAGGUAGCCUGGACAACAGUGUCCUAGAUACAGACAUUACCCAAACAUGGCCAAAGGCCUACUUAAAUGUACUCAAUUCAAAGCAUCUUCAGAUCUUACCUCAGAAGGUAAAAUAUCCGACUUCCAACUAACUUCUGCAGUGUCAGGGACCUUAUAUGAUUUUGAGUUCUUCUAACAGAGUGUGAAAUGGGCAAAGGCAUAGAUGAGGAAGUAAAUCAAGGUAAGAUGGGAAGAUUUGGAAAGGAAGCAAGUGCAGUAUAUCCAUUAGCUAGGGAACUGCUCUGUAAAAGUUUGAUUUUUUUUUUCAAUUUUUUUUAAUCUUUUUCAUUUUAUUCGGUACCAGGGAUCGAAUUCAUGACUGCCUGCUUGCAAGGCAGGCGCUUAUGCCACUGAGCUAAAUCCCCAGCCCCUUGAUUUUGUUUUUUGAGACAGGAUCUCUCUCUCUCUCUCUAAUUCAGUCUGUCCUGGAACUCAUUAUGUAGCUCAGGUUGGCCUCAACCUCCUGAGUGCUGGGAUUACAGGAAUGUGUCACCAUGGCUGGCUUUAUAUAUUAAAUUAGGUAGUAAUAUAAUAAACCCCAAAUCAUGAAGAAUAUGACCUUAAGCAUUCUUAAAAUUUUUAAAUUCUCUUUCUUUCUUUAUGUCUUUCUUUUGAGACGGGGUUCCCUAUGUCAUUAAUUUUUUUUUAAUGUCAUUAAGUUUUAAACUCACUAUGUAGCCCAGGCUUUCUUUGAGCUCAUGACAAUCCUCCUGCUUCAGUCUCCUGAAUACUGAGAUUAAAACCAGCAUUCCAGAGUCUGAGGCAAGAUGAUGUUUGAAAAUUCAAGUCCAGUCUGAACUACAUAGUGAGGCCCUAUUAAAAAAAAAUUGAGCCUAUCUUGGGCAACUUAGUAGGAAAACCAUGUCUCAAAGUAGAGAGAUUUAAAAAGGCUAUGGAUGUAACUCACUGGGGAGAGUACUUGUCUAGCAUAUGUGAGGUUCUGAGCUCAGUCCCCAGAAUCACAGAAAAUAAGCACACUGAAAUGUCAGAUGUCUGAAAUCAAUGUGUUGGCAGAGCCAGCUCUCCCCCAAACCUGUCGGAGAAUACUUCCUGCUUCUCGCUAGUUCUGGCUGGUUGGCUGGCAAUCUUCUGGUGUUCCUUGUCAUGCAAUCACAUGGUUCCAGUCUGGCUUUGACAUCAUGUGACCCUUUUCCUGUGUCUGUCUCCAUUUGGCUACCUCCUCAUGAGGACCCCAGAUGUGUUCGAUUAGGGGUCUACCUUCCUCCAGGAUGACCUCGUCCCAACAAAUCAAUUCUGCAAUAACCCUUUUCCAAAUGAGGUCACAUCCCCAGGUCCAGGAACUAAGACUUCUCCCCCACAUAGCUUUUGGGGAGGGAAGAAAGUUUAACUGAUGACAGUGUACAAUCUGCCAUUCAGUCUUGGAGAAAGUUAAUAAUGGUGUAAAUGCAUUCUGUGGAUAAGGUUUUACCUUCAAGGACAAGUUCAUCAGCCAGACUUGAUGGAGCACACCUGUUAAUCCCAAUGCCCUCGGAGGCUAAACCAAGAGGGUGGCAAGUUUAAACCCAGCCUCAGCAACUGACUGAGACUUUGCCUCAAAAUAAAAAAAUAAAAAAGAGUUGGUGAUGUAGUUUAGUGGGAAGCUCCUAGGUUCAAUCUCCAUUUUCACAAAGAGAAAAAAAAAUAGUUUUGUAGUAUGAUAGCCAAUAGGAUGAAUUUAUUUUUUCAGUACCAGGAAUCAAACUCACAACCUUGUACUUGCCAGGCAGGUACACUGUGCUGCUGAGCUAUAUCUCUGGCCCCUAGGAUUUAAUGGUUUAAAUUGUAAGAUCUUAAGUUUAGAUAGUGUGAUUUUAUCUUUCACAGCACCCUCAUGAUAUUGGGCACCAUGUAAUUCUUACAGUUAAUGUUAUGGAGUAUUUUUUGGCUGGGUAUGGUGGCUCACACCUGUAACCUCAGAACUCAGGGAGCCUGAAGCAGGAGAAUGGUCAUGAGUUUAAGGCCAGCCUGGGCUACAUACAGAGUUCAAGGCCAGGCUGAUCUAUAGAGCAAUGCCUUGUUUAAAAAGAAAACUUCUUGCCAGGUCUGGUAUGCACAUCUAUAAUCUGUGGUAUGCACACAUAAUCCCAGCAUUUGGGAGACUGAGGCAGGAGGAUCUCUGUGAGUUCAGGGCCAGCCUGGGCUACAUAGUGAGACCUUGUUUCAAAAAAAAAAAAAAAUUGUUUUGUUUUGAACCAUGUCUGUAAUUCCUGGUUUCAAGACGUUAAAACUAGUGGCCAAUUUAGAAAUGUGUCAAGAAUCCACCUGAACAGCUUCUACACCUAUUUUCUCCAGCCGGGAACUGUCAUUGGACAUGAAGUCAUCCCUAUGCUAUCCACUCCUGGACGCUAAAGAGCCCAUUUUAGAGGGACAGGCUUCGAUCUGAAAUUUUCUCCAGUAGGAUUAGCUCCGCCCGCGCCUGCAAGGCUUGCAGCCCACUGGGACGUCCUCAUUCACUCCUGAGAGGCACUUAAGCUUUUUCAAUUCAAAGAGCUGCAGCUCCAGAAACCACCAGCAGGUGGACCAUCCGCCGUGAUUGGAUAAACGCCAGGGAAUUCCAGUCCUAGCAGCAAUUGGCUGCUAAAUUCUGUUUUUACAGUGCUCUGGUGAGUCUUUGAUUACAACGCCUACUACUUCUGAGCCUGACUUAAGAGAAAGCGUUCAGGUGCACGCUGAGAUCACUUGCCCUCAGCCACGGAGACCAGAGAAGAGGCGAACACAGGUUCCCUCCAGGCCAUUUGCCCUGCCCAGGGCAGAAAAGAAUCUUGAGAAGUCAGCUUAGGAUCCCCCCCACCCCUCGCCUACUCUUCAGGCUCACCAUUGCAGCCCUGUCCAAGGAUGGGUCCAUCUGACACCUAACAGUGAACGCCAUGAGGGCAGGACCUGGGCCCUCUUGGUAACCACUGUGUCCAUAGCAGCACCCAGCACAGCGUGACACACGAUGAGUGAGCACAUUCGCUGUGUAGAGAAGCCCUUGCAGCAAUAUGAGAAAACACGGGGCUAGAGUAUAGUGGCAGUGUGCUUGCCUCAAAUGUGUGAGGCUCUGGGUUCCAUCCCCAGAACCAGAAAAAUAGCAAAAACCUUACAAGAUAUUACAGGUUUCAGGUUUCCACUAUGAGUCAGAACUGUGCUAACUGAAUUAUUAUUAUUAAUAAUCAUGGUUAGUCAUAACAAAAAUAAAUCAGAAACUGGGUGGUGCGGUGGUACACGCCUGUAAUCUCAGUUACUUGGGAGUCUGAGGCAGGAGGAAUGCAAGUUCAAGACCUGCCUGGGCACCUCUGAAGACUGUCUCAAAUUUGUAAGAAGUGGGGUGUCUAGAGAUAUAGCUCAGUGCACAGGACUUGGUUCAAUUCUCAGUACGGGAAAAACAAAACAAAACAAACAAACAAACAAACAAAAAAACAGUAGACACCAUACUUUGAAUUCAUUCUUUUUCCUGGCUAGUGUGAUUAGUCCCAAGACUCGUGCUCAGCAGUAGCAAAAGCAGAGUUUUAAAAAAAGAGGAGAAGGAGGAGGAGACAGAGUUUAAUCAACUACCAGAUCACAAGGGGAAACAACAGAAACUCCAGAGUAUGUGUGGUGCUAGGCAGCAUCCGGUAGGCUGGGUGGAUUAAUGCAGGAUUUGUGAUAGGUUUAUCUGAACAUCACCCCUCAGAGGAACCCCUGAACCUGCUUUCCUCCCAGACUCCUCAGCUCCUGGCCCAGCCUCUCCCCCAUCCUCCCUCUGGCCUCUCCUUGUUUACUCGUCCUCCAGCCCUCCAAGCUCCUGCCUCCCAGCAGUCCUUCCCCUCAGUCCACUCUAAAGCUCUGCCUCCAGCACCCCCAACUCCUAUCCUACUCAAUCCUUCUCACAGGCAGCCCCCUCCAGUGAGUCCCAGCUCAGGAACAGCGACUCCUGAUGCAGGAGUAUGGCAUAGUCCAGUCCAUUUUAAUUGUUGGGCAGGGUUCUUGGGGACUGGGGUUCUCCCUUCCCCCUUCAGCCCCCAAAACAGUUCAUCCUUGGGAUGUCAUGGAGAGCAGCGGGUGGGCCAGGCACCAGGCUCAGAGGACGCUGAUGCGCUCUGCCAGGCCCUGCAUCUCGUGGUCCUGCGGCAAAUGGGCCCCAGCAAGCUCUACGUGGGUGGGCAGCCCAGGGCCGGGCAGCGGAUGUUCUGCCACAAACUGCUCCCAGCGUGCAUCGUCACUCUCGUGGGUGAUGUACCGCUCGCUCAUCUUCCUCUCCAGCUCACGGAGGUCCAGCCACGUCUGGUACUCCUGGGCCGGGAGAACUGCGGUUAGCUGGGGGCUGCACAGAGGGCAGACACUAGAGGCCAGAGAAGCACUGAUGUGUCUUGCUCUGUGGAUCCGCAGGGUACCAAGGAAGAUGAAGCCACACCCUUCAAAAUCUGUCCAGCCAAAAGAUACCUAGCCGGGCACCCUUCCACAGAUUAGCCAAUGGGAGGCUCGGCCACGCUUAGCUGCCCAAUAGCAGAUCUAGCUCCCCCCUUCCUCUAGCCCAGCCAGCGUGUCGGCCCCGCCCCCUAUCACCUGUAACCAGGGGUGGCUGAGAGACUUGUCCACACUGUAGCGCUUGCGCAUCUUGACUUGUAGCAGGUUGUUGAUGAGGUCAAUGGCUGCAAAGGAAAGUGUCAGUUGAAGUUCUGAGUGAGCCUCUCCCGGCAGGCCACCCCAGUCCACAGCUCGCCGUCAAGGCCUGUGCCUGUACUAGUUGAGGAGGCUAGGUCUGCACUGUGCCACACAACAGCCUGCUGAUUUUCUCAUGAAACUGCAGAACUGUCUCCAUGUCAUCAUACUGGUUCCAAGCAAAUAAAUCAUACUGGUUCCACAGCAAAUAUGUGAAAAAAUGUUCAUUCGAGAGGCACAAAUUAAAACAACAUUGAGAUUCCACCUUACCUUGGAAAGAAUGGUCAUUAUCAAGAAAUCAAGCAAUAACAAAUGCUAAAGAGGCUAUGGGGGGAAAGGAACCCUUCCCUUCCCUGUUGGUGGGAGUACAGAUUGGUGCAAUCACUGUGGAAAUCAGCGUGGAGAUUCUUCAAAAAACUAGGACUAGAGGUCUCAUUUGACCCAGCUAUUCCCUUUCUGGGCAUCUUUCCAAAACAAUUAAAAACAUCCUACCACAGUGAUAUAUGUGUGUCCAUGUUUAUAGCAAAACAGUUUGUGAUAGCCAGAUCUUGGAAACAACCCAAAUGCCCAUCGACUGAGGAAUGGAUAAAAAAGAUACGGUAUUUUUAUAUAAUAAGAGUACUACUCAGCCAUAAAGAAAGAUAAACUGGAGACUUAUAGGUAAAUGGAUACAACUUGAGAAUGUACUCAUAAAUGAAAUAAAUGACACACGUGUAAACAUCGUGUUGUCUCAGUGUGAGAAGCUAAAAGAAACGUCUAUGUACAUGUACAUAAAAAUAGUUAAGACAGAUAUACUACUGAUUUCUCUGAGUUCAAUGGAGAGAAAGAUUUGCGCUGAUAUUAUUUGGAUAACUGAAUGCAGAUGUCUUGUGUUUUGGGUGAAUGAUUUGGGGAUGACAAUGUGUAAUGAAUAUAUCAUUGUUACCCCCUGAUUGACGUGUUUUCAAAUUUUGGGUUUUUUUUUUCCUUCUCAUUGAAAUAAAAGUGGAUUUGGAAAAAAAAAAAAGAAGGCAACUUGAGACUCUAAGAAAGCACUUGAUGUUUUUAUCUACUGGUAGCAAAAUGGAGUUUUACUGUAGUUUUAUAGGAAGUACUAAUGUUUUUACGUAUUUCAGGACUUUCACAUGUUAAGUGGCAAUUGCUUUAAAUGUGUAACUACGAGUCUAUGUCAGCAUGUACAUACUGUGCUGAAAGUCUAUUAUGUUUCAAUUUGCAUGUCAUAUUAAUAUGCAAAAAAAAUCAUAUUGGUUCCUGUC